rnacentral:ncRNA from 1 species
CAAAAUUCGUUGAUGAGAACAAGGUCCGAUUUGUAUUUAUUUUCAGAGAGCCUGUGGGCGGUGCGAACAGGUAAUGGUCAGAUUGGAAUAUCCUCUCUAAGAAGCGGGCUGAAAGCAUUAAGUGUGUCUGUAAACCUCGCCGGUGUCCACCGUUAUAUGGAAAGCAUAUGCUGGUAUGCAGAGUGUCACAGUAAUACACUGUGGAAUCAGGGUGGUAACGCGGAUUAUUUCGUCCCUUUU